GAUAGCUACUAGACAUAAGGAUGCAGAAAUGAAUUAGAAAAAUUCCUCACCCUUGUUCAAAGCUGUGCUGGCUCUUAGAGCAUCUGAGCCCCCACUGUUUCAUCUUUAGAGGAUCCCAGCUGUGAGGCCAGUGCUGGAGCCAGCAGUCUCUGACCCAGGAGGGACCUGAGGUGCUAAAGAAAGUGUACAAGCUGGAAAAGGGGAGAAAUGAAUCAUGCUACAGGCCAAGUGUUCAUCACUGAUUCCCAGAGAUGCCCUUUAUGUGGUCAUUGAGACCCUAAUUCCAGAGGGCCCUACCCUAUACCCAGAAGGAAGAACUAUUGCACAGAGAAUCCAAGAAGAAUCUAGACAGACAGCCCUCGCUGGAUUUCUCCACUCCAUCUGUUAGCAUUCGAUCAUUUGCCUUUUGUCCAGUCAUAUUUCUGUGUGGCUGUCCAUACUUUGUUGAACCUAAGCACAAAAUGGAAAGUUUCCCCUGUAUCUUUGGGUCUUCAUUCUGAAGGCUCCGAUGUUAUGUAAAACUAUGAUCGAAUAAA